UGGGGUAGAGUUUCAGGCUUCCGGCGGCACCACGGUGGGGGGUUUUCGGGUUUCCGACGUCUGAGUGACGGCAAAGAAGGCAGAAGGUCAGAGUAUCCAUGCAUUGGUUUGUUUCUUUUAUUUUUUUUUUCUUUCCUGAGUUGCGACACAUGUGGCAACUGGGACUGGCAAUAGCGUGGUCAAAGAAAUAAUGCUGCAUUGUUAUUUUUUUUU
rnacentral:lncRNA from 1 species